AGCCUCCGGAGCCGCCGCGCCGCUCUCGGCGUCCCGGGCUCAAUACAGCGUGCCGGGCAUCCUGCAUUUCCUGCAGCACGAGUGGGGCCGCUUCGAGGCGGAGCGCGCCGAGUGGGAGGCGGAGCGGGCGGAGCUGCAGGCCCAGAUUGCCUUUCUUCAAGGUGAAAGGAAAGGACAGGAGAAUUUGAAGAAGGAUCUAGUGCGGAGAAUCAAAAUGCUGGAAUAUGCGCUCAAACAGGAAAGGGCUAAAUACCAUAAAUUAAAAUAUGGCACAGAACUGAAUCAGGGAGAUAUGAAGCCACCGAACUAUGAUUCUGAUGAAGGGAAUGAGACAGAGAUUCAGCCACAACAGAACAGUCAGCUAAUAUGGAAACAAGGACGACAGCUGUUAAGACAGUAUCUACAAGAAGUGGGCUACACCGACACGAUAUUGGAUGUGAAAUCAAAACGAGUGCGAGCUUUAUUGGGCCUCUCAAGUGAUGCUUCAGAAAAAGAAAACAGAAAUCAAGAGCCAAUGGUAAAUGGCACAGAGGGCCAGAUUAAAGAAAACGCAAUGAUCGGGAAACCUGAAUUGACUGACUCUGCCUCUCUGCUAGAGACCUUCAAGUUUCUUGAAAAUGCAGCUGCAGAUUUCAGUGAUGAGGAAGAUGAAGAAGAUAUUGAAGGAAGAGAGAAAACAAUCAUUGAUACUGCAACAAUUGUAAGGAAAAGAGUGUUAUCUGAUAGCAGUGAAGACAGAGAUACAGAAGAAGCUUUGAAAGAGUUUGACUUUUUGGCUACCUCAGAUGAUGGUGAUGGGGAAUCAAGAAGUUCGGGAGAUGGAACAGACUGGGAAAAGGAAGACCAGUGUCUCAUGCCUGAAGCCUGGAAUGUCGACCAGGGAGUUAUAACCAAACUCAAGGAACAAUACAAAAAGGAGCGCAAGGGGAAAAAGGGGGUGAAGAGAAAAACUACCGAAGAUAUGUUUCAGCCUCAAUCCUAUAUAAAACAGUCAAAACAGGGAUGUGGGAAAAUGAUGGAGCAAAGCACAGGGCCCAACAGGUCAAAGCUGCAAGAUAUGCUUGCAAACUUGAGAGAUGUUGAUGAUCUCCCUUCAUUACAACCAUCUGUUGCACCUUCUUCUAGGCCCAGUAGCUCAAGGCUCAUUGAACAUGAGAUAAACAGGACGGAUGAAGUGGAAGCUUUAACAUUCCCUCCAUCCUCAGGGAAAUCUUUCAUUAUGGGAACAGAUGAAGCCCUUGAAAAUGAACUGGGUCUUGGAGAACUGGCAGGCCUUACUGUAGCAAAUGAGGCAGAUUCGCUGACUUAUGAUAUAGCCAACAAUAAGGAUGCAUUGAGAAAGACUUGGAACCCCAAAUUUACGUUAAGAAGUCACUUUGAUGGAAUAAGAGGUCUCGCUUUUCAUCCGGUUGAACCAGUCUUAAUAACAGCUUCAGAGGACCAUACAUUAAAAAUGUGGAAUUUACAAAAAACAGCCCCAGCAAAAAAGAGUGCUUCUCUUGAUGUAGAGCCAAUAUAUACCUUCCGAGCACAUAAUGGACCAGUGCUCUGUGUGGUGAUGAGCAGUAAUGGUGAACAGUGCUACAGUGGGGGAACGGAUGGCCUCAUCCAUGGCUGGAACACGACCAACCCAAACAUUGACCCCUAUGACUCUUACGAUCCUUCUGUUCUAAGAGGUGCUUUUGUAGGCCAUACUGAUGCAGUGUGGGGUCUGGUUUACAGUGGAGCUCACCAGCGUCUGCUAUCCUGUUCAGCAGACGGCACUAUACGUUUAUGGAAAGCUACAGAAAUUGCUCCAGCUCUCAAUAUAUUUAAUGAUAAUCAAGAAAUGGGAAUCCCUUCAUCAGUAGACCUUGUGAGCAGUGACCCAAGCCUCAUGGUAGCAUCAUUUAACAGUGGACACACUAGCAUUUUUAACAUGGAGACACGGCAACGAAUUCUUACCCUGGAAUCCAGUAUGGAUACUAUCAGUUCUUCCUGUCAGAUAAACAGAGUCAUCAGCCAUCCAACUCUUCCAAUUAGUAUCACUGCUCAUGAAGACAGACACAUCAAAUUCUACGACAACAAUACAGGAAAACUGAUCCACUCCAUGGUAGCUCACUUAGAUGCAGUUACAAGUUUAGCUGUUGAUCCUAAUGGCUUGUAUUUGAUGUCUGGCAGCCACGACUGCUCAAUUCGCUUGUGGAAUCUUGAAAGCAAGACCUGCAUCCAAGAAUUUACUGCUCAUCGCAAAAAAUUUGAUGAGUCCAUUCACGAUGUGGCAUUCCACCCAUCCAAAUGUUAUAUUGCCAGUGCAGGAGCAGAUGCCCUGGCUAAAGUGUUUGUAUGACGGAGUGCUUCCCAUUCAACUUUAGCUUUGUAUAUAUUUAACCAGCUGCACAAAAGAGAAGAGGAGGGCAUGAGUUGUUUUAUCUUGCCCUGUAAUUCAGAGAAUGUUUUACCAUCCAAUUGUCCUGAUUGUGUGAGGAAGGUUUUAACCCCAAGCCCAAAACAACACCCCAGACCAGACACUACCCUUUCUGCAGAGAUUAAGUGGAUAUGAGCAAGCAGGCAGACUAUUUCACCAAUAAGAAGAUGUAGACCACGGAAGACUGUCCCAAAUUACCACAUAUUUUGAGAUGCAAUUUGGUGGAAAGGCUUUCUCCAAAACAGGGCACAAGUAGGCUUUUCUGACUUAUGUGAUGCCAGUAUUUGCCCUUGUAACAUUUGUACCAAAUUGCUCCAUGGGAAAUACUCUAAAGUUCUCUAACCUCUCACCCCACUCAUCAUCAUGGGAAGGACACUCCUUCUCAUGUAGCCUCAUUUCCAAGCAGCUUCUUUCUUCCUGUGCUUCAUGUCCUAAACCUUCUUCAACCAAACCCAGAAGAACAAAAUUUUCAAGUGUUGAAGAUGCAUUGCAAAGGAGGGCCUCAGUCACUAAAAAAUGAGCCCAAAGAGGUGACCCAGCCAUGUCCUGCUGCAGAGGAGACUAGAGAAGAUGGCAAGAGAGAUGAGGUCUCAGGUCGGUGGGUUACCAAAGAAUCUUGAUCUCAAACCAGUGCAAGUGAGAGGACUGAAGGCUGAGCUUCUGGAAAACCAAACCAUGGUUGGGUGGCAAAGGCACCUGCAGAGCACGCAGCAGGACUGCAUCAAAGUAGCUGGACUGGUGUUGAGUGAUGGAACUGAGAAACCAGACACAGCAAAUGAUUGGGAUUACUGGUACAGGCAAAAAGUCCUCCUGAGGUUCAGCUUCUGGUACCCGCAUCAGCUCGCUGAGGGUUGUAGCUGUUGGCAUGUGGGA